rnacentral:rRNA from 1 species
UACGUAGGGUGCAAGCGUUGUCCGGAAUUAUUGGGCGUAAAGAGCACGUAGGCGGUCCGGUAAGUCCGCUCUGAAAGUCCGGGGCUCAACCCCGGGAGGCGGGCGGAUACUGUCGGGCUAGAGUCCGGAAGAGGCGAGUGGAAUUCCUGGUGUAGCGGUGAAAUGCGUAGAGAUGUGGAGGAACACCAGUGGCGAAGGCGACUCUUUGGCCUGUAACUGACGCUGAGGCGCGAAAGCGUGGGGAGCAAACAGG